rnacentral:rRNA from 1 species
AUGCUUGGCUUCUUCCACAUCUGGCCGGAACCCUGCGUCGAGUUCAUCCCCACGACGGAUUUCGACGUGCGCGAUCUCGAACCCCAGCACCACUAUUCCAUGGAAGAUUGUCGCCACGGCUGCGUACUCCUUCGGUACAUCGAUGAGGAUGAGAAUAUCCCAUUGCUGGUCGUCUGGGACCCCAUGACGGGCAGCGAAACAUUGCUUGGCAGCCUCGAGAAGUUGGGAACGGGAAGCUGGUCUGCCUUGGUGCUCUGUGCUGCGGACAACUGCCGCCACGGUGACUCUGACUGCCAAUCGAGUCCAUUCCGCGUCGUUUUCGUCUUCCUUCACCACGAAGAGGAGGUCACUACGGCGUGCGUGUACUCAUCGGAGACGGCUAGUUGGAGCUCUCUGGCCAUCACUGACCUUGGUAUGUUUGAGGAGGAAAUCGAUUGCUGCACGCCUAGUGUACUCGCAGGAGACACGCUCUAUUUCCUGCUGUUUCGGGACCAGGCUAUUGAAGGUUGCAGUAUUCUCAAGUACAACUUGGGAACCUCUUGUCUGUCAGAGAUUCAUCUGUCGGAGGAGAUGCAAGAUGCCAUCAACAGUCCUAUCCUCAUCGCAUCGGACGACGGUCGGCUAGGGCUCGCAGACCUGUUGAAUUUCAACCUCUCCAUCUAG